UGGGGAAUCUUGCACAAUGGGGGCAACCCUGAUGCAGCGACGCCGCGUGAGCGAUGAAGCCCUUCGGGGCGUAAAGCUCUUUCGACCGGAACGAUAAUGACGGUACCGGGAGAAGAAGCUGCGGCUAACUACGUGCCAGCAGCCGCGGUAAUACGUAGGCAGCAAGCGUUGUUCGGAGUUACUGGGCGUAAAGAGUGCGUAGGCGGUUUUCUAAGUUCGGUGUGAAAUCUCUCGGCUUAACUGGGAGGGUGCGCCGAAGACUGGGAAGCUGGAGUGUGGGAAAGGCAGGCGGAAUUCCUGGUGUAGCGGUGAAAUGCGUAGAUAUCAGGAGGAACACCGGCGGUGUAGACGGCUUGCUAGACCAUAACUGACGCUGAGGCACGGAAGCGUGGGUAGCAAACA
rnacentral:rRNA from 1 species